AUUAAAAGAACCACAUGAAAAGGAAUAAAUAUGACCUGGACAUUCACUUCCUGUGCAGAAGUUCGCUGAACAUGUGCCUCCCAGCCUGUCAGGGUGAGAUGCGACCUUCUCUUGUUUGCAGAAGGAGAUGGAGAAAAAAGAGGGGAAAAAAAAGGAAGAGGGGAAACUUAGUGAAAUGACAGCUCUUCAGUAUUCCAUGGCUAACUUCAGGGACGCCUUUCUUUACAGUGCUGUCUCACACACCCUAGAACUAGAAAAAUACAGCUAGUAGCAAAAAUACUUAAUACGCAACCUGUUCUUCAUUGUCUACAGUUAAACAGAGCUUGAUCCCCAUUUUAGCUGGGAGUCAGUGGCAGAACUCCUUUGGGUUUCAGUGGGAAUACGAUCAGACCUAAAGAUAUUAUGGACUGAGUCCAAGGAUCCUCUGAUGUGCAGAAGAAACACAUGGAUAGACCAGCAGAUCUUCGGUUUUGGAUCUGUAAGAGGAUUUUUACAGAUUUUCUUUCCAUGAGGGAACUGUUAGAAACUCCGUAUUUUCCGACAUUCUGAUCUGUUACCGUAUCAUUUCACAGGGUAAGAUUUAAAGAAAAGAAACAGACAAUACAUUAAUCACUUGUUCUCAAAAUAAUUUUCUAAUCUGAGGUCCCAAUGAACUGGAAUUGCAGAGGACAAAUGACA
ensembl:lncRNA